UGAUACAUUUAUCCAAGAAAGGAUUACCAGAAGUGUUCAUUAAAGGAAUAUCAGCCAUCGUCUGGUUUAGGUAGAAAAACUGGGCAAGAGAGGAUAUGAUUGUGAAGGAGUUAGGGCUAACACCUGGAUCUCUAGAAAUCGAGUCCAGCCGCUUAUUUUUAACAAAUUCUGGGUUUUGAGAAGCCGCACUUCUCUGCCAGUGCCAUUGCUGAGGUAAUAAUAGCAAAACUGUUCCUUUCCCCCUGUUUCCUUUCCUGAGUUUAUGUGAUAUUUUGGCCAUUAAGAAUCUCAACCCACCCAGCCUAGCCGAUUUGGCUCAGUGGGAUAGAGUGUCAGCCUGUGGGCUAAAGGGUCCCAGGUUCUAUUUUUGCCAAGGGCACAUGCCUGGCUUGCGGGCUCCAUCUGCCCUCCCUCCCCCCAAGUAGGGGGCAUACAGGAGGCAGCCAAUCAAUGAUUCUCUCUCAUCAUUAAUGUUUCUAUCUCUCUAUCUCUCUCCCUUCCUCUCUGAAAUCAAUGAAAAAAAAUUUUUAAGAAUCUCACCCCACCCAGACAGUAUGGCUCAGUGGUUGAGCAUCAACCUAUGAACCAGAAGGUCAAGGUUUGAAUCCCAGUCAGGACACAUGCCCAGGUUGUGGGCUCAAUCCCCAGUAGGGGGAGUACAGGAGGCAGUCAGUCAAUGCUUCUCUCUCAUCAUUGAUGUUUCUCUCUUUCUCCCUCUCUUCCUCUCUGAAAUUAAUAAAAAUAUAUUUUAAAAAAAAGAAUCUCACUCCAUCUUCCCUACUACUAGUGGUAUGCUACUUAUCACUACUCAAAAUAAAUUUUGUUAUUUAUUGUAUUUUAAUAUAUUUGAAAUAAAUGGCAUGGAUUUAAUUUUCCUUACCUAUUUGGAUUAAGGCUUUGUGAGCCAUACAAAUAAUAUGCAGAUGACAGCAUCCCAACAUUACUAAUUAAGAUAUGAUCGCCAUACAUUUUGCUGGCACAGGGAACUCGUUGUGGGAAUACUACGUCUUAUCUUCCCCAAGUAAAUUAGAAGUGUCUUGAGGACUGGGAUCCUCUUUCUUGCACACAAUUUCAUAUUCCCGCAGUGUCUAUGACAGAUUUCGGCAGAAACUGUGCACUGAUGUGGGGGGAGAAGCUUCUGUGUGAAGAGGCAAGGAGAAGCAAACUCCUAUGCAUGUGCUUGAGAAUACACACAUAGACCUUGAGGCUGCUCUUAAAUAACAAGUAAGAAAUCUCUUGUGGGUGCUGCCAGACUCCUCACAAAGGAGCAUGUGGGAAAAAUUCCAAAGACAGUUCAGCUACCUAUUUACUAAGAAUGAUGACGAGACAUGGUAGAGUAGUUCACUUAUGAGUAAUAUAUAUAAUGGAUAUUGUAAUUUUUUUUUAGGACAGAGGCAUUUUAUAACAACUUCCCCUGAAUGCUAUUGCCUUUAAAAAAUCAUUCAAUAGGACUUCUUUCUUGGUUGUGCUUUUAGACAUUUUUCCUAACUCAGUCUUCCUGGCACAAUUGCUUUCAUUUAGGAUCUUUAUUAGUAGCAAGAAGUCAGAUAGUAUCCUAAUUAGAAUGCCCAAUGAGGAAAGAGGAAUGGUUCUGAUUUUAUGUAGGACUUGUUUUUUAUUCCCUAAAAUAGGAUUUUUUUUUCAGGAUUAAAGCUAAAAUUAGAGAACACAUUUGAAAAGUAUUCAAGGCCUUAUUUAUCUUUUGCUUUUAUGACUAUUGUUAUUGUGGGUUGCUGGUGAAACAGUUGCAUUUGCUUUGCUUUUGGGUUUUGCAGUUACUUGUGGCCACACUUUUGUAAGUUUUUACUUUCUUAAAAAUGUAGAAAUAUAUUCUUUCACGGUGGCUGUCAGUAAAUUAAAGUAAUAUUUCCUGUUUUUAAGCUUUUGUCCUGAUGUCUUGCCCAGGUCUCCCAUGAGCUGGGAAGCUAGGAGGUGAGGGAGGAUGGAUUAAAUUGAAUGUUGGUGUUGGAAGGAUUUUCUUUGUUGGCUUGAUAUUUUCUAGAAGCAGCUUAUUUCCUCUUUCCUAUAGAAAUGAAGAAUAAAAAACUGAAAACUCCUAGCUCUGUUUAUUGUUAAGCUUACAUAACGCCAGAGAAUGCAUAACUUCCCAAAAUAUUUCCAGAGCCCCCUGACCCUCCAUAAAGGUCUAUUCACUUAUGGUAUACAAUGUAUAAUACAAUCAGAUAUGGUGUAAAUAGUGCUCAGGGUCAUAGGAAAUUAGAACUGAGGGGCCCUGGAAACCUCUGGUCCCAUCCAGAUGUUAGCAACGAGGGCACUGUGUUCCCAAUGGGUUGUGAUUUAGCCAUUGUCACCCACAGGGAGACCAACUUGUCCCUAUUUGCCUGUGACUUUCUUGGUUUUAGCACUGAAAGUGCCCCACCCUGGGAAACCCCUUAGUCUAAGGCGAGUUGGCAUCCUAAUGUCAGGGCAGGACCCAGAAACCUCGCUUGUAGACUUUUGGCUCAGUGCUCUCUGGACAUAUUUCUAUUUUAUUUUAUUACAUACUAGAGGCCUGGUGCAUGAAUUCAUGCACGGGUGGAGUCCGGCUAGCCUGCCCCGAUCAGGCAAUGGGGCCACAGGCAGAUGGAGAGCCAGCCCCACUCCUGAUGGGGGGUGGGGGGCAAUCAGGGGCAGGGCCAGCCAGGGGAGGGGCCACAAGCAGUUGGCCAUCCCUGGUCAAACUCCAGGUUGAACUCCUGGUCAAACUCCCAGUGGAGGGGACAAUUUGCAUAUUAGCCUUUUAUUAUAUAGGAUUAUUUUAUUUCUUUUUUGUUUUUUAUUCUGUGACUAACAAUUUAAAAUAUUUUCUUUGGGACACCUUGUUAUAGGUCAAAUAAAAAGCAAAUGUUGCUUUUAGACACCCUAGAAGUCAGGAAGGAGGGCUUGGGACCAGUGUAUAGGGAAGCCAAAUUUUCAGUAGCGUUUUUAAAUUGCAAAAAUUCUCAGUUAUGUACCCAUUUACAUAUAUACAAACAAGUGCAGUUCCUGGUUACCAUUGCAGUAUUUAGAAGGUACAGGUUGAGCAAUGUCAUAGCUGAAUGGGAAGUAAUAUGGAUUGAAGCUUGAAUGGAAUGUUCUGGAAAAGUUCCAUUUUGGUCAGGAUGCAUGCACUUCUCUGUUUGUUCAGCAUGUUUCAUAUGGUGUUUUCCUUCCUGCCUUUCUAGUCCCAUCUGCACUCAGAGCACGGCAUAUCAGUUCUGCCCCUGAAAGUAAAUUAAUGAUUUACUGCUCUAUGCUGUGGAGCCUUCCAAAGACUUGUGGAAAUGCCAUCGGCAAGCACGAUUAUAUUGUCCCAUUCUGUGACUAACGUUUUUUCUUUUAGCAAUUCCCCACUUACGUCUAAACAUUUAGAUUUUUCCAAUUCUAUCUCAAUAAGCACUUCAACUUUUGACCAUUAGUGUAAGUGCAGUUGUCAGUUUAUUAUUUAUUUAGGGGAUUGAACUUGAUUAUCUGCAUCUAUGCUGUAAUUUAAGCAAAUUAAUUUUAAGUAACUUUGGUGAGAAUCCUUUGAUUUAUAUUAAAUAUCAAUACUGUACCAAGUACAGUGAAAGCAUAAAUGACAUUUAGUGGAUUCUGGAAGCCAGGGGGAAUAAAUAGAAUUUGGGUUUCACUGACCAGGACUAAUUAAUGCUAUGUCAUUUAUAUCUGAAGUGUUGCUCUUGCUUUAUUUAUGCAACCUUGUAUUAAAACUAAAACUAAAAUUUCCCAUAAUUUUGUAUUAGGUAGGUGUUUUUUUUUCUCCCAUAGGUUUAAUUUGUUUUGAAAUAAUUCUGUGACCAUGCCCAUGACCCAGUAGAGGCCGACUGUAGGGUGUAUUGUUAUAAAGUGCUUUGUUUUUUUAAAGAAAGGAAGCAUAAGUAAUGACAGGUGUUUUUCCUAUAUUACAAAGGAUUUGUUUAGCUUACAUAUUGCUUUUUACUGUAUGUUAACAAGCUUGACCUUGCAGCUGUGAUGGACUUACAUGCUUUCCUUCUCUGUGGACAGAGGGCAGAAGACCUUCACUUCCUUAGUGGAGAGCAGUAUUUGAGUUACUGAAACUCUGAUACCAGAGAAAUGUGUGUGUCCGUAGCUAUGCAUAUAUUUAUUUUGUCUUAGGUGUUUAGCCACUGCUCCUCUUUCAUAUGAAACACUUGGAAGUAAAAUGCAACAUUAUGAAAUCACUGUGAGGCUUCGCUUUCAGGGCCAUGUGAAAGCUGUUUGUUUUGGUUCAUAGGACAGAAAUGGAAAGUUCAGAUUUUUUUAUUUCUAGAUAAAUUGUCUAAUAUCUGUAUCUUUAGUCAGAAAAUUUUACCGUUUGGAAUUUUUUUAAAAAACACACAAAUAAUAUAAGUAGUAUAGUUGUAAAGUUAGGAUAGUGGGUCAUAGUCCCCUUCUUGGUAAGAUAUGGCUUGUAAUCUUAUAAUUAAGGGAAAUCACCAUUUAUUACCUUCCAGUCAACUCAGUUUAAAAGGUCAGAUAGAAAUUGAAUAUAAGUAUAUUUGUGUCUUUUUCUUAACAUUUUAAAAUUUAUUAUUUUUUCUGUGCUGCAAUACAAGGCAGAGAUAGGAACAAUGUGGCAUGCAAGAAGUAAUUAGGUGCAUCCCACUUUUUAAUAGGUUUCCAAACGUGUAUGAAAAAAAAAAGGUUUGGAAACAUUAUACUUUAAAUACAGGAACUUAGUUAGGGAAUCCUUUUAAUCUGUGAGUCAUCCUUCUGUUGUGUUACUAUCCCCUAAAGUAUAUGAUUUUUAGAUUUGAUUUUUCAAGUACAUAAGAAUGAGAUGUCUUCUUGAGAAGGGCAUACCUGCACAGGGAUCAGAUUUAGAUCAAAUUAUUGAAAAGCUUCUAUGUAUCAAAUCAGAUUUGAGAAAUUAUCAUCACACUUGUCUUAAUAACGAGGCUGUUUUCAACUAAUAAAAAGGUGUGGUUUUCUGGUCCUCACAAAAAUUUUCUAAGGGGUAGCUGGGGAUGGUAGAUGGAUACCUUCUUUCUAAUACCUGUUCUAGAUCUUUGCUGCUUUUCCUUAUCUCAAAUUAGUGACCCACAUUCCUAUUCUGUUGAAAACCACACAAGUGAGGUUAGGUAUGUCUUCACUAUGCCAAAAGGCAAGUGAGUGGCUAGGGAAGGAAGUGAGAAAUAGUUACUGGAUAUUUAGCUAAAUUGACCAAUCAAUUGUUAGCAUUGUGAUUUUGUUGAUAAGUUUUAGGCUAUUUUGGAAGACUACUAGUAUUUAGGGAAGUUAAAAAAAUGAAACUAAAUAAAUAAGAGGCAGUCCUAACAAUGCAUUAAAGAGAGAGAGAGAGAGAGAGAGAGAGAGAGAGAGAGAGAGAGAGCCCGGCUGGCGUGGCUCAGUGGUUGAGCAUCGACCUAUGAACCAGGAGGUCACAGUUUGAUUCCCAGCCAGGGGACAUGCCUGGGUUGUGGGCUCGAUCCCCAGUGUGGGGUGUGCAGGAGGCCACCGAUCAGUGAUUCUCUCUCAUCAUUGAUGUUUCUAUCUCUCUCCCUUCCUCUCUGAAAUCAAUAAAAAAAAGUUUUUUUUAAAAGAGAGAGAUGUAAUUCACAUACCAUAACAUUUAUCAUUUUGAAGUGUACAGUUCUGUGGUUGUUUGGUAUAUACUAGUACACAGAGCUUUGCAGUUAUCACCACUGUCUAACUCCAGAAGGCUUCGUGUACCUCAUACUCAUUAGUAGUCACUCCCUACUUCCCCCUCACCCAUCACCCUGGUAACCACUAAUUGACUUUCUGCCUCUAUGGAUUUGCCUGUAGACAUAGCAUAUAAAUGGAAACAAAUGGUCUUCUGUGUCUGGCUUCUUUCACUUAACAUGUUUUCAGGGUUCAUCCAUACUGUAGCACGCAUCAGUACUUCAUUCAUUUUACUGCUAAAUAACAUUCUGUUGUAUGGAUAUACCACAUUUUGUUUAUUUCUCUUUUGUUGGACAUUUGGGUUAUUUCGCCUCUUUGGAUGUUAUGAACAAUGCUGCUAUAAACAUUCGCAUACAGGUUUUUGUGUGAACAUAUGUUUUUCAUUCUCUUGUGUAUAUAUCUAGGAAUGGAAUUACUAGGUUACUGGUAACAAUAAGUUUAAUUUUCGAGGAAGGUCAUAUCAUAUUGCAAAGUAGCUGAACCACUGAACAUUCCCAUUAGCAGUAUGUGAGGGUUUCAGUUUCUCCAUGCCCUCCCCAAUGCUUAUUUUUCCUUUUUGGGGGUAUAAUGCCCAUCCUAGUGGGUAUGAAGUAUUAUCUCAUUUGAUUUGUAUUUUCCUAAUGACUGAUGAUAUUGAACAUUUUUUAUGUAUUUAUUGAUUAUUUGUGUAUCUCUUUGCGUAAAAUGUCUAUUCAAAUCCUUUGCCCAUUAAAAAAAAUGGGUUAUUUGUGUUUUCAUUGUUGAAUUCUAGGAGUGCUUUAUAUAUUCCGGAGAUUAGACCUUAGCAGAUACAUGAUUUCCAAAUAUUUUUCUCUCAGUUUGAGGGUUAUUUUUUUCAUUUUCUUAAUGAUAUCAUUUACAGCACACAACUUUUACUUUUUUAUGUAGUCCAAUAUAUUUUUUUCUCUUGUGCUUUUGGUGUUGUAUCUAAGAAAUUCAAAAUUUACUCCUCUAUUUUCUUAUAAAGAAUUUAUAGUAUUAGCUCUUCCAGGUUGGUGAUAUGAUGUGAGGUAGGGGUCCAGAAAGUGUGAGUUGCUCUUAUUUUAUAAGAUUGUUUUGACUAUUCUGGGUCCCUUGCAUUUUUAUGUGAAUUUUUAUAUCAGGUUGUUUAUUUCUAUUUUUUUUUCUCACCUGAGGAUUUUUUCCAUUGAUUUUUAGAGAGAGUGGAAGAGAGAGGGAAAGACAGAGAGAAAUAUCAAUGUGAGAGAAACACAUCAGUUGGUUGCCACCUACACGAGCCCCGACCAGGAGCCUGCAACCGAGAUAUGUACCCUUAACCGGAAUGGAACCCGGGACCCUUUGGUCAGCAGGCUGUCGCUCUGUUCACUGAGCCAAACCAGCUAGGGCAGGUUGUCCAUUUCUACAAGAAAAAGGCACUUUGAAUUUUGAUAGCGAUGUAGAUCAAUUAGGGAAGUAUUACCAUCUUAACAACGUUAAGCUUUCCAAUCCUUGGACACACUGUUUUUCCAUUUACUUAAGUCUUUAAUUUCUUCCAGUGUUUCAUAGUUUUCAGUGUAUAAGCCUUUCACUUCUUGGGUUUAAUUUAUUCUUAAGUAUUUAUAAUUUUUUAUGCUAUUAUAAAUGGAAUUGUUUUCUUAAUUUUAUUUUCAGAUUGUUUAUUGCUAGUGUACCAGGCAUUUGUAUAUUGAUCCUGUAUCCAGUGACCUUGUUGAACUUGUUUAUUAGCUCUAAAAGUAGUUUUGAGAAUUUUUUACAGUUUUCUAUGUAUAAGGUCAUAUCGUCUACAAAGAGAGAUAGUUUUACUUAUUCCUCCCUUUUAUUUUUUUACCUUGUCUAAUUACCCUGGCUAGAACUUCUAGUACAAUGUCAAAUAGAAGUGGUGAGAGGGGACAUCCUUGUCCUAUUCCUGAUCUUAGGGGUACCACUUCCAGUCUUCACCAUUAAGCAUGAGGUUAGCUGUGGGUUUUUCAUGGAUACCCUUGGUCAUGUUGAAGAAGUUCCUUAUAUUUCUAGUUUGUUGAGUGUUUUCAUCAUGAAAGGAUGUUGAACUCUAAUGAUAUGUUUCAAUGAAGAGAUGGACAGAUUUUUCUGUGAGUUGAGUUGUUGUACUGUCUGUGUCAGGAAAUAAACUUGGUUGCCCUAACAGGUUUGGCUCAGUGGAUAGAGCGUUGGCCUGGGGACUGAAGGGUCCCAGGUUCGAUUCCAGUCAAGGGCAUGUACCUUGGUUGCAGGCUCAUCCCCAGUAAGGGGUGUGCAGGAGGCAGCUGAUCGAUGCUUCCCUCUCAUCGACGUUUCUAACUCUCUAUCCCUCUCCCUCUCUGUAAAAAAUCAAUAAAUAUAUAUAUUUUAAAAAGAAAUAAACUUGGUUGAAAUGAGUUUCUAAAUCUAGACAGGAUGCUAAUCAGCUUGAAGCCAUAGAAGUGCUCAUUGCUGGUUUUUACAGUUUGUCAGCUGGUAGACAUCUAAUGGAUUCUAAGACUAUUAAACGGAUCCUCUUCAUUAACCCAAGUUCAUUUAAGUUUGUAUUCACUUGCCUAAAGAUACAGAGACACACAGACACAAAAGAGAUAAGAUGCUUUGUUUCUGUUUGUUGGUUUAUUUUAAUUCCUCAUUAUUCCCUGACCUUCUGCUUCUCAUACUCAGAUGCUCCAGGAGCACUAGGAGGAUGCCAGACUGUGGAGAAACGCAGGCUGUCUCCCUGGACAGUCAGUGGUCGAGCUCCUACAGCUCUCUGCCUCUGUCUGUCUUGGAGAUGGCCUUGGGAGAAAAACUGGAGAAACACAGGACCUGUCAGAGCUUCCUGGAAUUGGGUUUCCUAGUGUUUUAAAGUUUGCAUUUUCUAGAAAGUGCAAGUAUCACUGAAUUUCUGCGGGAAGAAGCCAUUCAUUUAAAAAACAAGACUUGGUAGUUGAUUAACCUAGUAUUGCUAUAGGAAAAAAAAUCCUUUGUGUGCACAUAGUAGGAGCCUUUACCUAAUACAGGUCAGUGCUGUGCUGCACCCUAUGGGGUUCACAGAGAUGACCACCAUCUGGUCUCACCCUGACAGAUGCCCUUUGAAAAACCCCUUAAGUUCUGGGCAGAAGAUCCAUUCUGUGAUUUAACCUGAGGCAGCUUUGUACAAAUACUAAGCCCAGAUUUUUUUUUAUGUAAUCCCUCUCCAUGAAAGGAAUCAUUCUGCAAUUCCCCCAGGAAAUUAUGUCAAGUUAAAAUAAUUGGAGAAAAAUCCAGUGUUAUUUAUAAACAACACUUCCUCAAAUGGCUUAGAUUAGGAGAUCACCUUGCAAGAUUGAGUUUUUCAGUCUGACUAACUUCUAAUGGAUAGAGCCCCACUGGCAUUUUUUUCAUGAUUAGUAUUGCUAAUAUAGUGUUUGCCUGAAUACUUACUGUUCUUUAAUUUUGUACCUAUACCCCAAAGGUCUUGGCUAAUGGCUACAUUUUAAAUAAAUCACAUGAAUAUGCUGGGUGGAUGUUAAUAAGCUUGAAUGCAAAUGUUCAUAAUCUUCAAGCCUAAAGGAGUUAUGAUCCAAGAUUUGGGGUAUGCUACAUUUGUUUUGCUAAAAUAUUAGGAAUGAAAGGUUUCAAAGAGAGGUAUACUUUGUUACAAAUAUAAAAUAAAUGUGUUUUCAGCAAUACUCAUAGCAACCAUUCUUAGGGAUAGUAUGAUUCCUUGUUAUCAAUCAUUCAAUGAAUGCUUGGAAAAUGGUUCCAAUUCCCAAAGUUUAUAGAGUAAUGAAAAUUAUGGCAACUUUUUCAUUAAAAUGAAUGUCCUAAUGUUCUAUAAUUAUUUUAUUUUUGCUUAAUACUUUUAUUAAGUAUUAUGAAAAUAAAUCUGACCCUAGUUGGUUAUCCUUAAAAAAUAAAAUUUGCUGAGAAAAAAAAAAAGUAUAGCCAGCAGUAACUCAAAAAUAUAUCAUUCUUACUGUAUUUAUAGGUUCAUUUGUUACAGGGAACAUGUAGGUCCCCAGAGGCAAUGGGUGUUUAUUGUAAAGCACAGCAGCUGCCUGACUGAGCCUGUGGGUCUGAUGGUCUCUUCCUGCCUCUCAGGUUUGGCAGUGGGUGUCUCUGCUGCCUGCACCUCUUCCAGGGUCUUCUCCACUUGGUAUCCACUGGUGGAUUCUCCUUCUUCUUGGCCUAUUCAGAUCCCAGACUAGUCUUACCAUUUCCCGGGAUGGGGGACAAUCUUUUGGAGAUGGGGAGAUUGAGGGCAGUUGUCUGUAGAAGGAAAUGUUGGAACUGCCAUAACAUGGUCUGCAGAGACAUUGCACAGAACCACACCCUGGGCCACUAAGUUUGUGGCAUUUUGCUGAUUAGACAUGAUGCGCAGGCAGAAGCAAGUGCUUGGCCUUGUCUGGUGUACUCAAAGCAGAAAACUGAUUUUACCCCGUUGCUGUUGUGAUGAGUCACAGUCACCACAAGAGCGACUCAUUCUGUGGGCAGAAGCCGUGGCUGAUUUGUGGCUGUCUCUAGAAGUGCAGGUAUGUGAGGUCAGUAAAUAAACAGAUGUCUAGAUCCCUUGAAAGGAAGGAGCACUUCAGGUAUUUACUCUUACAGGUCCUCUUUCCCCACCUCCACUAUUAACCAAUACAUUCGGACAUUUUUGCAAAGGAGCAACUAUCUGAGUUUGGUGCCAGUGAAAACUUGUCAGGCUUCGUGCCUGUUCUGUAGGAGUCAGGAGGAACUCCCACAACCCACGAGCGCAUGAUGCCUGACAUCACUGUGGAAGUGGAAUUUGGGUUGUGGAUCUCUCUGGUUAUUCUGUGUGCAGCUAUUUUAAUGGGAACUUUCAUUUCUCCAUCUACAACCUUGAAUUCCUUUUCAUCAUGUGCAAGCACAAAUCAUAAAGUUACCGAAAUGUUUGCUCUGGAGUUUUCCAAAUUUUGUAUAUCAUUUGUCUCUGUAGUUAUAAUGUAUUCAGUUACAUAGUCUAAUUUUUUGAAUCCCUUACUUUGCUUCAAUUUGGAAAUUUAAUGAGAAAUUCCUGCUUAACUUCUUCUCAGAGCAAUAGUUUUCUAGAGUGCUUGAUUAAAUUAUUAGGUGAACAAAAUUAGAUUUUUUUUUCCUCCUAAUGUUACUGGGAGUUUGGCAAAGGAAACGAGUGCAGUAAUUUUCAUACUUAAGAAAAUCUAGCCCUGGUUUGUUGGCUCAGUUGGUUGAAGUGUCAUCCCAUACACCAAAAGAUUUCGGAUUCCAUUCCCAGUCAGGGCACCUAUCUAGGUUGUGGGUUCGAUCCUUGGUGGGCACGGGGCAUGCACAGGAGGCAACUGAUUGAUGUUUCUCUUCUACGUCGAUGUUUCUCCCCCCCACUGCCUCUUCUUCCAUCUAAACAUAUCCUUGGGUGAAGAUUUAAAAAAAAAAAAAUCUACCUUGUCAUUAGUUUACCUUUGUAUUUAGGCAUAAUGAAUACUGUCUACCUUCAUUAUAAGGACAACAUUUUUAACAUGAAUAUAAUCAGUAAUCCAAUUUUUUCACUGAAUGUCAUUGCAUCAAACUAUUCAAUAAUUAAAAAUAUAUAGUGACUAUAAGUUUCUGGAUGAGAGCAGAAAUCUGGGGUUUAUAUUUUUCCACUUUAUGUAGUAUCAAUAAUUUUUCACUUUCAGGGCCCAAAACUGAUGAUGGCUUACAUAUUAAUGCACCUAAUGGUGAUGACUUAGAUUUGUAUUAUCUUUCAUUUUAUAGAGACACAUUGAGUGGACACAUCCAAAGAUCAACUAUUAAACUAUCUCUAACUUGAAAGUAAAGAACAGAUCUACUUUUAUAAAGGUCAUAGAAUGUAGAUUUUUAAAUAUAUUAUACAUACCAAGUUAUCGAUUUAAGCCACUUAAAUUAUUUAGGUAGAGGUAAAUGUAUGUCUGCUUUACACUAAAAAGUACCUUACAUAUUCAACCAUGUUUUUAGCACAAUAGGUCAGUUUUAUGGUGAAAUAUGAUAGGAAACAUUUUUAUUUGAUGUAUUUUAAACUUUGCUUAUUGCCUAAGUUUAAUUUUGCUCAAUAAACUUAUCAGUUCAUCAUCUCUCAUGAGACUAAUUCCUCUUACGUUAGUUCAGGAUAGCUUGAAUUUUGCACACAUUUGUGCUAUUUUCAGGAACCAAGUUGACAUAGCCUUAUAUCAAAGGUUAGCCUUAUGUGGAGAGCCUUAUUGCACAGAUUUUAGAGUAUUUAAUUUCUAGUGUUAUUUUUAGAAUGCAGAAUCUCGGGUAUUUCUGGACAUAAUAAGAACUUUGAGAAAACUUCUCUAGUUAUGGGUAAACUAUGUGAAAUAAAUUGAGAAUGUCUUAACACUUCUGACAUUUGUAUUUAUGUUAACUAAAGUUAUACCUCAGUGUUUUUGUUGAAUUUUGUACUGUUAUGUGAUAAAGUUCACCACUGGAGAAAUUGCUAUGUAUGUAUGUGAUAAAGAUACUUGCCUUAAAAUAGAGCAUUUCUGUCUUGCAAACAUU